UCAUCUGACUGUGAAUUCUUCCAAGAUCACAGAUACCGUGUUCUCUGUCCAGUCGCCAGUAGAAUCCAGCCUGCAGAGAAAAAAUUUCACCCUGGUUUUGGACCAAACUACCAUCCAACAUUUGAGGUGCGCCUUCCUGCAAACACUGAAGAAAUGCCAAUAACAGUCCAGGACCAAGCGCAGACAGAGGUCUGGAGAUGGGACACUGAUCUAACCGAUGUUCAGAGCAGAGACAAUCAGCUGAGG